GAACUGUGCCUUUCAGGCAUCCUCUCCUAAACUUUUUGGGCUGGUCUGCGGAUCGGCCCUUUUUUUUGGCUCCG
rfam:Sphingobium sp. GW456-12-10-14-TSB1 unitig_0.quiver.pilon, whole genome shotgun sequence.